UAUCAAGCGUUUAAGAGCAUUUGAUGGAUGCCUUGGCACACAGAGGCGAUGAAGGACGUAGUACGUUGCGAUAAGCUUCGGGGAGUUACGAACAAACUUUGAUCCGAAGAUUUCCGAAUGGGGCAACCCAACUCUUUUGAGUUAUUGCUAACUGAAUACAUAGGUUAGUAAAGCGAACCCAGCGAACUGAAACAUCUAAGUAGCUGGAGGAAAGGAUAUCAACCGAUACUCCGUAAGUAGUGGCGAGCGAAAGCGGAUCAGGCCAGUGGUUUUAAUUGUACAACCAAAAUUACCUGGAAAGGUAAACCGUAGAGAGUGAUAGUCUCGUAUGGGUAAUGACGAUUAAAAUCCUUGAGUAAGACGGGACACGUGAAAUCCUGUCCGAAUAUGGGGGGACCACCCUCCAAGCCUAAGUACUACUGUGUGACCGAUAGUGAACUAGUACCGUGAGGGAAAGGUGAAAAGAACCCCGACGAGGGGAGUGAAAUAGAUCCUGAAAUUGAAUGCUUACAAGCUGUCGAAGCCCGCAAGGGUGACGGCGUACCUUUUGUAUAAUGGGUCAGCGAGUUAGUUUAAGUUGCAAGCUUAAGCCGUGAGGUGUAGGCGUAGCGAAAGCGAGUCUGAAUAGGGCGUUAGUAUCUUGAAUUAAACCCGAAACCGAGUGAUCUAGCCAUGAGCAGGUUGAAGAUAAGGUAAUACUUAUUGGAGGACCGAACCAUUAGACGUUGAAAAGUCUUUGGAUGACUUGUGGUUAGGGGUGAAAGGCCAAUCAAACUCGGAUAUAGCUGGUUCUCCGCGAAAACUAUUUAGGUAGUGCGUCAUAUGAAUACCAUCGGGGGUAAAGCACUGGAUGGGCAAGGGGGAAGAAAUUCUUACUAAGUCCAACCAAACUCUGAAUACCGAUGAGUAAUAUAUGGCAGACAGACUACGGGUGCUAAGGUCCGUGGUCGAGAGGAAAACAGUCCAGACCAACAGCUAAGGUCCCCAAGUUAUUGUUAAGUGGGAAAGGAUGUCGGACGACCAAAACAGCCAGGAGGUUGGCUUAGAAGCAGCCAUCCUUUAAAGAAAGCGUAACAGCUCACUGGUCUAAAUAAGUUGUCCGGCGCCGAAGAUUUAACGGGGCUAAACAAUACACCGAAGCUUUGGACACAAUUUAUUGUGUGGUAGCGGAGCGUUCCGUACGUUGUUGAAGGGAGACUCGUGAGAGCUCCUGGAGAUAUCGGAAGUGAGAAUGCUGACAUGAGUAGCGACAAAAAGUGUGAGAAACACUUUCGCCGAAAAUCCAAGGGUUCCUGCGCAAGGCUAAUCCGCGCAGGGUGAGUCGGCUCCUAAGGCGAGGUCGAAAGACGUAGUCGAUGGGAAACAGGUUAAUAUUCCUGUACCUGAUGAGAUGUGACGGAUGACGUAUAUUGUAUACCCUUAUAAUGAUUGGGUGUGCAGUGAAGUUGUUCCAGGAAAUAGCCUCAUCAUUAAAGACCGUACCCGAAACCGACACAGGUGGAUAGGUAGAAUAUACCAAGGCGCUUGAGAGAACUAUGCUGAAGGAACUCGGCAAAAUACCUCCGUAACUUCGGGAGAAGGAGGACCUAUGUUUGGGCAACCAGAUGUAGGUGGCACAGAAAUGGGGGUAGCAACUGUUUAUUAAAAACACAGGACUCUGCAAAGCCGCAAGGCGAAGUAUAGGGUCUGACGCCUGCCCGGUGCCGGAAGAUUAAAGUGAGUGGUGCAAGCUACGAGCUGAAGUCCCGGUGAACGGCGGCCGUAACUAUAACGGUCCUAAGGUAGCGAAAUUCCUUGUCGGGUAAGUUCCGACCUGCACGAAUGGCGUAAUGAUUUCCCCGCUGUCUCCAGCAUAGACUCAGCGAAAUUGAAUUCUCCGUGAAGAUGCGGAGUACCCGCGGUUAGACGGAAAGACCCCGUGCACCUUUACUAUAGCUUUACAUUGGUGUUAGAAAUUACAUGUGUAGGAUAGGUGGUAGACUUUGAAGUAAGGGCGCUAGCUCUUAUGGAGUCAUCCUUGAAAUACCACUCUUGUAAUUUUUGACAUCUAACUGAGGCCCAUUAUCUGGGUCCAAGACAGUGUAUGGUGGGUAGUUUGACUGGGGCGGUCGCCUCCUAAAAAGUAACGGAGGCGUGCGAAGGUAGGCUCAAGCUGGUCGGAAAUCAGCUGUUGAGUGCAAUGGCAUAAGCCUGCCUGACUGCGAGACUGACAAGUCGAGCAGAGACGAAAGUCGGUCAUAGUGAUCCGGUGGUUCUGAGUGGAAGGGCCAUCGCUCAACGGAUAAAAGGUACGCCGGGGAUAACAGGCUGAUACCGCCCAAGAGUUCAUAUCGACGGCGGUGUUUGGCACCUCGAUGUCGGCUCAUCACAUCCUGGGGCUGGAGCAGGUCCCAAGGGUUCGGCUGUUCGCCGAUUAAAGUGGUACGUGAGCUGGGUUUAGAACGUCGUGAGACAGUUCGGUCCCUAUCUGCCGUGGGUGUUGAAGAAUUGAGAGGAGUUACUCCUAGUACGAGAGGACCGGAGUGAACGUACCAAUGGUGUACCAGUUGUCAUGCAUUUGGCAUCGCUGGGUAGCUAAGUACGGACGGGAUAACCGCUGAAAGCAUCUAAGCGGGAAGCCUCCCUCGAAACUAAUUCUUCCUUGAGAGUCGUGGUAGACCACCACGUUGAUAGGUCAGGUGUGGAAGUACAGCAAUGUAUGAAGCUAACUGAUACUAAUAACUCGAUCGGCUUGAUUUU
rnacentral:rRNA from 1 species